UUCCCAGUGGCAGAGAUUUAAAAUGUCAGUUCAGCCACAGAACAGGUGCAGCAUGGGCAUCAGCAGUGCAAAUGGCCCCACCAGUACCUGCUGGUCCCUGAGAGGCCACUUUGAGGGCUGGAGAGAACAGUUCAGUUUUCCCAUGCAAUCAGCCCUUGGCAGAG
rnacentral:sRNA from 1 species